GGUAACGGCCUACCAAGGCCACCAUGCGUAGCCGACCUGAGAGGGUGAACCACCACAUUGGGACUGAGACACGGCCCAGACUCCUACGGGAGGCAGCAGUGGGGAAUAUUGCACAAUGGGGGAAACCCUGAUGCAGCAACGCCGCGUGAGUGAUGAAGGUUUUCGGAUCGUAAAGCUCUGUCUUUGGGGAAGAUAAUGACGGUACCCAAGGAGGAAGCCACGGCUAACUACGUGCCAGCAGCCGCGGUAAUACGUAGGUGGCGAGCGUUAUCCGGAUUUACUGGGCGUAAAGGGAGCGUAGGCGGAUGAUUAAGUGGGAUGUGAAAUACCCGGGCUCAACUUGGGUGCUGCAUUCCAAACUGGUUAUCUAGAGUGCAGGAGAGGAGAGUGGAAUUCCUAGUGUAGCGGUGAAAUGCGUAGAGAUUAGGAAGAACACCAGUGGCGAAGGCGACUCUCUGGACUGUAACUGACGCUGAGGCUCGAAAGCGUGGGGAGCAAAC
rnacentral:rRNA from 1 species